UAGUCCACACCGUAAACGAUGAAUGCCAGUCGUCGGGUAGUAUACUAUUCGGUGACACACCUAACGGAUUAAGCAUUCCGCCUGGGGAGUACGGUCGCAAGAUUAGAACUCAAAGGAAUUGACGGGGGCCCGCACAAGCGGUGAAGCAUGUGGUUUAAUUCGAUGCUACGCGAAGAACCUUACCACCCUUUGACAUCCUGUUCGGGGAUUAUAGAGAUAUUUUCCUUCGGUUCGGCCGGAACAGUGACAGGUGUUGCAUGGCUGUCGUCAGCUCGUGUCGUGAGAUGUUGGGUUAAGUCCCGCAACGAGCGCAACCCUCAUCCUUUGUUGCCAGCGGAUAAUGCCGGGGACUCUAAGGAAACUGCUCGUGACAAGCGAGAGGAAGGUGGGGAUGACGUCAAGUCAUCAUGGGCCCUUACAGGGGUGGGGCUACACACGUGCUACAAUGGCGUUUACAAUGGGUCGCUAUGUCGCAAGGCGAUGCUAAUCU
rnacentral:rRNA from 1 species